UGGGGAAUAUUGCGCAAUGGGGGAAACCCUGACGCAGCGACGCCGCGUGCGGGAUGAAGGCCUUCGGGUUGUAAACCGCUUUUGAUUGGGAGCAAGCCUUCGGGUGAGUGUACCUUUCGAAUAAGCGCCGGCUAACUACGUGCCAGCAGCCGCGGUAAUACGUAGGGCGCAAGCGUUAUCCGGAAUUAUUGGGCGUAAAGAGCUUGUAGGCGGUUCGUCGCGUCUGGUGUGAAAGCCCAUCGCUUAACGGUGGGUCUGCGCCGGGUACGGGCGGGCUAGAGUGCAGUAGGGGAGACUGGAAUUCCCGGUGUAACGGUGGAAUGUGUAGAUAUCGGGAAGAACACCAAUGGCGAAGGCAGGUCUCUGGGCUGUUACUGACGCUGAGAAGCGAAAGCGUGGGGAGCGAACAGG
rnacentral:rRNA from 1 species